AGGCUGGCUUUAGCUCAGCGGUUACUUCGAGUACAUUCUAACCACCUCUCUGGGUUGUUUGAGACCCGUGGGUGCUCUCCAGCCCUUUA
ensembl:misc_RNA Vault Vault RNA